UACGUAGGUGGCAAGCGUUGUCCGGAUUUACUGGGCGUAAAGGGCGUGCAGGCGGUUUGUUAAGUGCAGGGUGAAAGCUCCCGGCUCAACUGGGAGAGGUCCUUGCAUACUGGCAAACUCGAGGGAGGCAGAGGAAAGUGGAAUUCCCGGUGUAGUGGUGAUAUGCGUAGAUAUCGAGAGGAACACCUGCGGCGAAGGCGGGUUGCUGGGCUGACACUGACGCUGAUGCGCGAAAGCCAGGGGAGCGAACGGG
rnacentral:rRNA from 1 species